UUGGGGAAUAUUGGACAAUGGGCGAAAGCCUGAUCCAGCCAUGCCGCGUGUGUGAAGAAGGUCUUCGGAUUGUAAAGCACUUUAAGUUGGGAGGAAGGGUUGUAGAUUAAUACUCUGCAAUUUUGACGUUACCGACAGAAUAAGCACCGGCUAACUCUGUGCCAGCAGCCGCGGUAAUACAGAGGGUGCAAGCGUUAAUCGGAAUUACUGGGCGUAAAGCGCGCGUAGGUGGUUUGUUAAGUUGGAUGUGAAAGCCCCGGGCUCAACCUGGGAACUGCAUUCAAAACUGACAAGCUAGAGUAUGGUAGAGGGUGGUGGAAUUUCCUGUGUAGCGGUGAAAUGCGUAGAUAUAGGAAGGAACACCAGUGGCGAAGGCGACCACCUGGACUGAUACUGACACUGAGGUGCGAAAGCGUGGGGAGCAAACA
rnacentral:rRNA from 1 species